rnacentral:rRNA from 1 species
UUGUCCUACGGGGGGCAGCAGUAGGGAAUCUUCCACAAUGGGCGAAAGCCUGAUGGAGCAACGCCGCGUGGGUGAAGAGGGUUUUCGGAUUGUAAAGCUCUGUUAGCAGGGAAGAGGAAGGACGGUACCUGCAGAGGAAGCCACGGCUAACUACGUGCCAGCAGCCGCGGUAAUACGUAGGUGGCAAGCGUUGUUCGGAAUAACUGGGCGUAAAGGAUGCGUAGGCGGUUAAACAAGUUAUAUGUUAAAUAUAUAGGCUUAACCUGUAGAAAGCAUAUAAAACUGUUUAACUAGAGUGCAGGAGA